CGGGGAAUAUUGGACAAUGGGCGGAAGCCUGAUCCAGCCAUGCCGCGUGUGUGAAGAAGGCCUUUUGGUUGUAAAGCACUUUAAGCGAGGAGGAGGCUACUUGGAUUAAUACUCUAGGAUAGUGGACGUUACUCGCAGAAUAAGCACCGGCUAACUCUGUGCCAGCAGCCGCGGUAAUACAGAGGGUGCGAGCGUUAAUCGGAUUUACUGGGCGUAAAGCGUGCGUAGGCGGCUUCUUAAGUCGGAUGUGAAAUCCCUGAGCUUAACUUAGGAAUUGCAUUCGAUACUGGGAAGCUAGAGUAUGGGAGAGGAUGGUAGAAUUCCAGGUGUAGCGGUGAAAUGCGUAGAGAUCUGGAGGAAUACCGAUGGCGAAGGCAGCCAUCUGGCCUAAUACUGACGCUGAGGUACGAAAGCAUGGGGAGCAAACAGG
rnacentral:rRNA from 1 species